AUUUUUACAAAUUGAAGAGGUGGAUAUGUAAAUCACAAAAAAAAGUCAAUAGGUUGCCGUAUUAAACUCAACUUUCCGACGAUCGCCGGAACUCGCUCCUCUCUCCGGGAAUGGCAGGAAUGGCUAUGUUUGCCUCUAAUCUCUCCAGCGAGAUGGGGUUAAAAUUGCUUCUUAGCCCGCUUAAUACUAAUGUUAUUGUCCGCACUGCAUGGCAUCCUACAACUGUUGCUUGGGAUGAGCCAAAUGCAAAAGUUCCAGUGCCGUUUCACGAGCCUGAAGAAGUUUUGUUUCUAAUAGACAUUCUGAACUCUAAUUGUUUAGUCGCUUCUAUUAUUUGGAAAAUUGAAGAUUCUAAUUGAACUUAAAAGGUAUUUGCAGCUGUUCUGUAGGGAUUGUUUUGCCUGUUUAUUCUACCUUUAAAGCAAUUGAGACGGGGAAUCGAAAUGAGCAACAUAAAUGGCUUCUGUACUGGGCAGCAUAUGGAUCUUUCAGUAUUGUUGAAGCAUUCACGGAUAAAUUUCUCUACUGGUUCCCACUAUACUAUCAUGUGAAGCUCGCAUUUCUUGUUUGGCUUCAACUUCCAUCUGCUGAGGGUGCAAAGCAAUUGUACACGAACCAUCUGCGCCCUUUCCUCAUGAAACACCAAGCAAGACUGGAUCAUAUUUUGGAGUUAUUUCAUGGAGAAUUGGGUAAAUUUAUUAGUACUCACCAAGCAGAAAUUCAGUUUGCAAAGGUGCUUCUUGGCAAAACCUUACUAUCAGUUGGAAAUAUUCUUCAACAACCUGCGCAAGGACGAGUUGUUGGUACAAUUGAAGGGCCAGCAGAGCAAGUAGAGACUUCAGAAUCUGAAGAUGAAUCGUGAUGCCCUCUUCAAAAUCAGCUAAUAAGUACCGUCUCUCUAUUGUACUUCAAAUCAACUUAGUUUAGCUUUCGUUCAAGAUAGGAGUGAUCAGUGUAUACAUAAUUUUCUAAGGAGUCAAUUUUGUUAUGGUUUGAGAGUUUCCUUCUCCGUUUUCCUGUAAAUAUAUCAACAGAAACUGCUGAUUUCCUUCAAUCUCUUAGGGUGUUACAAGAUUUCACAUUGUUUUUAACCAUUUUAGCAGACUUUGUGCAGUUAUUUCUUUGUAUGCAACUAUGCAUUGUGAAAUAGUACUUAUUUACUGGGAGUGAAGUUGUACUGACUAUCCUACUUAUUCAGACACAAUAUUUGAAGCAUAA